GGUUGCGUAGCUGAGCUGAAUGGAGCAUCUGUCUUUUAGGCAGACGAUCGAAGGUUCGAAUUCUUCCUUGAUUU
rnacentral:tRNA from 1 species